UUCGGUGAUAGUAACCCGUUGAGU
rnacentral:miRNA from 1 species